rnacentral:tRNA from 1 species
AUUUAGAUAAUUUAAUAAAAAAUAUUGAUUUGUGGGAUCAGAGAUAUGGGUAACCAUUUUAAGUA